UCUUUGUUAUGACCUAAAUUCAUCUUCUUGAUUAUCUCCACAAACCCUAGAAACCAAAACCUAUGAACGAUCGAAGCUUUCUGAACCAUUGUUAUUCUCAGAGAUUGUGGAGUAUUUCAACAAUCAAGUUUCCAUUCUCUCUCUUAAAACCCUAAUUGCUUCAGUCGUUUUUCUCUCUGCAGGAAGAGAGAUGUGAUCUUCAUCAUUGUCAUGGCUGAAGGACGGCUGCGACCACCGAUGGGAUCACCAUCAAUGAUGUUACAGAUUCAGCAAUCUAAAAUCGUUGUUUCCACGAUUGCGAUACAGAAUUGAAGAACGGAUCAAUCUUUAUUUGUAACUGAAACCCUAACUUUCAAAAAGCGAUUCUGAUUCCAUCGAUCUUGCCUAAAUCCCAUUCACGAUUUCUGAUUCAAGCUAUCUUUUCUAAACAAUUUUGAAAAUCGAAGGUAUGUUGUUUUGAUUUUUUCAUCAUCUAUUUUAGAUUUGUUUUGUGACGUUCAUCUAGGAUAAUUCGAUCUGGUCCCAACUGAUUGAUCUUCCGGUGUUCCGUGGCAAUUUUGUUUAUGGUACGAUUGCAACAUUGAGUUUGGCUUUUGAAAAGGAUUUUGAUGACAGAGGAGACAAUAGUUGAUGUUCCUUGGGAAGGGGCUAUUACCAGUGAACCAAAGUUGUGGAUGUGCAUUUGAUAAAAUUUUCAAAUAGAGAACUAGCCAUGGGAAUUUUAAAUGCUCUAAAUGGAAUAUAUAGAAUGGGAGUGAGAAAAUUCAAAUCCAUGUUAUACUUAUGUAUUAUAUUGCAACCAUUGUUGAUAUUCCCUCAUUUUCCUUAUUUUAAUUAGUUUAUACAUCUCAAUGUUAAAUCAAAUUAUAUAUUAAUUACUUUUAGAUUUUUUUUGUUUUCUUAAUUUGACCAGGGGAUCCUACAGUAUGUGGUCUUGUGUUUAAUCCUCUGAAGGCAUUGAUUUCGGGCUCUUGGUUUUCUUUCAACGAGCUCUUUACCAAGAUAGUGGAAAGUCAUUAUAUGGCUCCUGGAGUUCUAAAACGCAACUAUGGCUCAGAGGUUGAUGUAUGGAGUGCUUGAGCUAUCAUGUACAUUUUGAUUUGUGGUGGUUCGUCGUUUUGGGCAGAAUAAUGAUGGAUAAUGGUAGAAGGUGCCAAAUUGAAAUCCAACAACAAAGCAAGAAGGUUAGCGAAUUUUAAUUGCUGGUCGGAACAGUUUGUACCUUUUCUGGUUGAUUUUGAUCGACAACUACCAACAAGUCCUUUUAGUUAUACUUAUCAAUGACUUAAUAUGUUAAUUUAAUGUGUU